GCCGAUCUUGAUGAAAACGGAAGCAAAGGUGUGUGGAGAUACUGGAAUGGGUAUCUCUUCAGUCUUUGCUACUCGGGUGAGACAUAAUUUUGUACUAAACGACAUUAACAAAGGUUUAUUUUGAUGGCAGCUCUUGCGGAGAAGGCAAUGGUGGCGGAGUGGUCCUGAUAUCACCAGUGUCAUUUCCAUUUUCAUAUUUGUUCAAACCUG
rnacentral:lncRNA from 1 species